rnacentral:rRNA from 1 species
AUUGAACGCUGGCGGCAGGCCUAACACAUGCAAGUCGAACGGUAACAGGAAGAAGCUUGCUUCUUUGCUGACGAGUGGCGGACGGGUGAGUAAUGUCUGGGAAACUGCCUGAUGGAGGGGGAUAACUACUGGAAACGGUAGCUAAUACCGCAUAACGUCGCAAGACCAAAAAGGGGGACCUUCGGGCCUCUUGCCAUCGGAUGUGCCCAGAUGGGAUUAGCUAGUAGGUGGGGUAACGGCUCACCUAGGCGACGAUCCCUAGCUGGUCUGAGAGGAUGACCAGCCACACUGGAACUGAGACACGGUCCAGACUCCUACGGGAGGCAGCAGUGGGGAAUAUUGCACAAUGGGCGCAAGCCUGAUGCAGCCAUGCCGCGUGUAUGAAGAAGGCCUUCGGGUUGUAAAGUACUUUCAGCGGGGAGGAAGGGAGUAAAGUUAAUACCUUUGCUCAUUGACGUUACCCGCAGAAGAAGCACCGGCUAACCCCGUG